rnacentral:lncRNA from 1 species
UAAUUAUGAUUACUUCAACAUAUUCAUAAUUUCGAAUUUCCCUUUCCCAACCUCAAACAUUCGACAAUGGCUUUGCUUCUCAAUCUGGCAUGCUUCUCUGUCGGUUCUCCUCAACAAACCUUCCUUUUUCCCAAAAAAAAUCCAGCUGGGAGUCGAAGAGGCAGCAUAAAACCGGCGGUGCUUCCCGGUGAGAACAGGAGCAGGAGGAGGGAGGACAGAGGCAACAAUCGGUUCUUUGCGGUGGCGGAUGGGAUAGGAGCAAGUACAGAAGAAGUUUAUAAGGUUGAGGUGCCAGAAGAGGGGAGUGAGGAGAGGAAAGAAGUGGAUUACAAUUGGAAGGAAGAAUGGUACCCACUUUACUUAACCAACCAGAUUCCAGACGACGCUCCGUUGGCACUCACCGUGUUUGAUCACCAACUUGUCAUUCACAAGGACGGAGAAGGCACCGUGCAUUGCCACGAGGAUCGCUGUCCUCACAGGUUGGUAAAUUCACCGGACUACUACAGAUUCUUCGGGUGGUAAUUCGGAGAUUAAUUGUGUAGAUUGGCAAAGCUGUCGGAGGGACAAAUAAUCGACGGCAGACUGGAGUGUCUUUAUCAUGGAUGGCAAUUCCAAGGAGAUGGGCGUUGCGUCAGGAUUCCACAGCUACCUGAAGGUGCAAAGAUUCCACAGUCUGCCUGUUUGAAAAAAUACGAGAUAGAAGACUCGCAGGGAGUGAUAUGGGUAUGGAUGUCCGUUGAUACUUCGCCUGACAAAUCCAAAAUCCCAUUUUUCAAAUACUUUGACCGACCGGGAUUUCGAGAAAUUUCCACAAUCCAUGAGCUCCCCUACGACCACUCCAUACUUCUCGAAAAUCUUAUGGAUCCAGCUCAUAUUCCCAUCUCCCAUGACAGAACUGACAACUCCGCCAAGCGCGAGGAUGCUCAAGCGCUUGUUAUGAAUGUUUUGGAGAAAACCAAUCGCGGGUUCGCCGGAGAAUGGGGGAGAGUAAAGGACUCAUCUCCAUCAUCGUCAAUGAACUAUUUAAAGUUCGAGGCUCCAUGUACGCUUCAAAACAACAAAGAAAUUUUGGACAAGAAUGGGGAGUCGCAAUACUUUUCUGCUUUAUUUCUAUGCCGACCGGCAGGACAAGGGAAGUCGAUGAUCAUUGCUAGAUUUGGAAACAGCAUCAAACCACCACUGUUGCGUCGGGCUUUUCCUAAAUGGUUAAUACAUCAGAUUGGUUGCAAAGUUUUUGAACAAGACAUGGGAUUUCUGUCUUCUCAGAAUGAGGUGUUGAUGAAGGAAAAACUACCUACGAAAGACCUCUAUCUUAAUCUCAAGUCUUCUGACACUUGGGUACGUUUUCUUUGCUUUGCUUUGUUCCCAUAGAACACUUAGAUCCUACCAAGAACUUACAAUCAUUCAUUCUUUUACAUUCUCCAUAGGUUGCGGAGUACAGAAAAUGGAUGGACAAAGUUGGUCAUGGCAUGCCUUACCACUUUGGACACAGCACAAUUUCGAUGCCAUCCAUCUCCCUGGUCAACGAGCAAGCACCGGCUGGACUAAUAGCAUCCCUAUCGGCGUCCAUGCCUUCGAAAGGUGGGUUUUUGACAGACCACACACCUAAUCCGGCAAACAGGUACUUCCGUCACGUUGUUCACUGCAAAGAAUGCAGUCGUUCUCUGAAAGAUUUUAAAAAAUGGAAGAAGGUGCUUCUGGUCCUCUCUGUUGCGUCAUUUGCUGCUGCAAUUCUUGCAGUCACAAAGCAGUGGAAGGUCAUGGCAUUGGUUGGAGCAGCAGUCUUGUUCGCUGGAUCAUAUGCUUGUUCAAGCGCAGCUUCUCUCAUUACAACCAACUUCAUCAGAGUUCAUAGGAGGUCGUGAACACUAAAACAUGUGAAUCAAAUUGAGAUUCAUGAAAAUUAAAUCUUUAAUUAUUCACAAAAGAUUAAAACAGAAUUACAAUUAGCAUACUAAUAAAGUAAUGGAAUCAAAACCAAAAUUCAAUGAAAUUAGAGUUGUUGGUAAGUGAGCUCGUCGGACCAAGCUUGUCGACUUAACCUAUUACAAGUGUUACUCCGAUUGUCAACCCCUUCCUCUGAUAGACCGGAGGUAUUUAUAGUGUCCCGUGAUUGAUCUUGGACCUUAUGGGCCACCCGGCCCCCCUGCGUCUUCGGGCCCAUUCGUACGUCUGGCCCUCGUCCAUGGUACCAACAAGAGUACUAAAAAUUUAUGAGUACUAAACUUCUGAAAAGAUGAGAUGUGACUGUUGAAAUCAGAGUUCUCUAACACCUCUGCCUCCGACCUGUCCUCUCACCGGCGAUCGGACCGCAAUGUUAAAACCUCCAUUUACCUUCUCAGCCUUCUGUUGAUUUACCUUAGUUCACAUACCCUUAUCGUCGACCUCCAUGGCGGUAUUCUUUAUGGAAGAUGAAGACCGUAAGAAGAACCUGCAAAUAGUACCUAAAAUAGUAGAUUAAAAGUAGGAAAAUUAGUUUUUUAAUAUUAAAAUAUAAUAAAAUUUGAAAGUUUGAUAAAUCUUCUCUCUCGUGAGCUGAAACAAUCCUAGACCGAAUUUACCGAAUUGUUUGAGAGCAAUGACCUAAUUUGUUUAAAUCGUCCCACCUUGUAAAGUUUUAACGAUCUAGAUUUUGGGAGACUAAAAACUUCUUUGGAAUAAAUGCAGAUCACCUGUCCGAAGAUGGAAGUCUCCGAUCAACAGAUCCGAGUUCGAUCUUUGAUUGAGAAACGGAGCAGCGCUACCACUACGUAGCUUUGAGGAAUUCCGACGGGAGUACUAAAUUCGGAAUUGGAGACGAACGCUGGUAUAGGAAGAACUUGCCGGAAACUGACCUUGACUCCGAGAAGAGAUCGAACGGAGAAAAGUAAGACGCGAGUUCUGGAAACUGGAGAAUCGCUGGAAAUUAGCCCUCUGAUUUCAGUAGGGAAAAACUUGAACUUUAUUUCAUAUCCUUAAAAAAAUUACAUGGUGUCCUAUAUAUAUGGAGAUUACAUGUGUGUGCGGAAUUGAAAAUUCUCAACUAACAGAAUUAAUGGAAAUUAUUAACUACUAUUUGACUUACCUAGCAGACAUGUCGAAGUCUUUAAACUUCUUUGGUAGACGUCGGUUCCUGAUAUGACGACUUUCCUCCAAUUCUUCUUCCUCCUCGAUAUCAAUAUCCUCCUCCUCCUCUGUAGAUUCUUCAAUUUCUUUAUAUCCUGUAAUUUCUUCAGCAUCUUCUAAAUCUGAUGAUGAGUCUGAAUCUGAUUCAAUUAUUUUUUAAAUCUCUGGAGAAUUGUUGAAUGCAUCUUCGAUUUCAGUUUGUUUGAUUAGGACUGCUACCACCAGCUCCGUACUCCUACCACCUGCAAAAAAAAAUUAAAACGCAAAAAUUGUUUUUGGAUCGUCUCCAGAAGCUCCGGUUGAGUUACGGUUAGCUGGUUACACUUGUCUGAAUUAGAGUUUCAAGCGAAUUUGUUACACCACUUUUGCCUACACAAUCUCUAAUGCGUUAAAAAAUUGUUUACCUAGUGGUAAGAAUUUUCAUAUAUUGGGUAGGAAAAUCCUUCCUAAAACCUUACCCAAUCAACCAAGGACGGGACAAGUACCACGAACGGCUAAGUCCCCAGUAUUCAAGUAUUUAGACAAACAGUCCCCACUCCCUUUCCCUAGCCCCUUUGGCCAUCUGCUCCACCAACCGUUACAGUAGGAGUUAGGAGAGUCUCUAUGGCAGUUCCUUAUCAUUAAAUGAUCUAAUAAUUAUCUAGGUAAUUAUUUAACUUAAAAUUAUAUUGCAAUGAUGUAAAAUUCUCUAUAAUUUAACAUAAAAUUACAAUGGUGCCACGAUUUAAGAAGACCCAUGUCCAUGUGCAAUAAAUAGUGAAAUAAAAAAUGGUUAAAACGAUUUUUUAACCUUAGAUUUCAUCUGUCUUUUAAAUACAAUCAAUAACUUUGUUAACUAUAGUUAAAAUACACUCUUUAGUUAAUUUGAAUUAGUAGUUAAUUAGCAGUUAAAGAAUGGUAUAAAUAGAAAACCGAUGGUGUGUAGACUCGCGAUUGAGGGUUCACACACACAACUCUCUAGUGUUUUUUUCUUUUAAUUGUCAACCUCCGUCGGUAAGGGUGAGAACGGGACGGGUCAGAUGCUUUACCUUUCUGUCCCGAGACCCGCCUCGGACCUGGUGACCAGGGCACGGGACAGAUUCGGGGCGACCCGUCUGAAAUUAUAAAAAUUAAAAUUAAAUUAUAAAUAAAAAAUUUAAAAUGGGUAAAUUUUUUACCUUAAUUUUUUAAAAUUUUAAUUUUAAUAAUCAUAUGUCUAAUAUAAUAUAAUUUAAAUUAAAUUAAUAUAAAAAAAUUAAAAAUUUAUUUUUAAAAAAACUGAGUAACGGGGCAAAAAAUGAAAAACGGGGCAGAUAUUCUGCCCCAUUCUCACCUUUAUCCGUCGAUACAGGUCCGUUAUUCGGGUUAAAGGAGGCUUGCGGUCUGUUUGACUCGUGGUCCAAAAACAUUGAUAACUUUGUAUUUGGGGAAUUUCAUUUGUGAAAUUGGAGACUUGUUGAUUUGAUUGUCAUUCUUGUUUUUGAUCUCAAAAUCCAAAACAAUUUUCUAAAAAAGUAAUGGAUUAUUUAAAAUCAAGGUCCUGGUAAUAACGAUCUCAUUAAGCCUAUAAAUGGUAUAUCGGAAUUUGCAUUCGAAUUCAAAUAUGACUAUCCAGAUUCUGAUUUUCGGAUUCAGAUACCUAAAUUGAAAUUCGAAUUUUAUUCGGUCGGAUUCAGAUAUUCGAAAAAUCCGUCGCUAAAAUCUGAAUUCGUUUAAAAAUUCUGGAUUCGGAUAUCCAGAUAAAUAUAUAAUAAAUUAAUAUUAUUCUAUUUAUAUAUUAUAUUAUAUUAUAAACAUAAAAGUUAAAACCAUUAUUCCAUUAAAGUAAACAAGUUUUAAACCUAAUAACUAAUAGGUAAUAAGUUUAAAUAAAAGGAGAGCGAGCACGGACAUCACCGUCUGCGUGAGAGAGAGCACUGCGAGCACGGACACCACCAUCUGCGUGAGCGAGCUUCUCCGCGAGACUGUUGAGGUCGCGAGCGAGCAUCUCUGAGAAUCGCGAGCUCCGAUUGUGUGCUAGCGAGUCUCUCUUCUACCGAUUUGGAGCCCAGAUCUGUAACAUUUACUCAGUAAAAGCCGUUGAGCUCCAGACGUGUCUCCGCGUGAGCUGCAGAUAGCUUGUGAUUCUGCGUCAACGAAUCACGAGCGUUGCUGCUCCAAACGUGAGUCCUCGGUGAGCCAGCGGCCGAUUCGAGCGAUCCGUCGUCACGAGCGAUUAGGGUUGAACCCGCAAGGGAGUCCCUAAUUUAAAUCGGCGAUUGUGAGAGGGGACCGAGGAGGGUGUUGAGGAGAUCGACGAUUGUUGUGUAAUAUUGUGGGGGAAUCGACGACUGUGUAUUAAAAAAUAACAAUAAAUAAAUCGACGAUUUAAUGUUUGGUAAUGUCAAUUGGUUUGCAAUUUGGUGCUUGGUGGUGUUAAUUGGUUUAUGAUUUCUUGUUAUUAACGCAAACCGGAGAGAGUUCAUUUUUGCGAUUGAAUUUUUGUGAACGGUUUCUGGUGAUCCUCACUGCCUCUAAUUGGAGCUAUCCGGUAAACAUCAGGGAGAUGAGCGUUUUGUGAUCUCUGAUGCUUAUCUCUAUCUAACCUUUAUCACUCGUUAGUUCUGGGGGUGUCCCGCGUCCUGCGUUGGGUGCUUGGGUAACGGAGUGAUAAUAGGAAGGAUAGAGUGGAGUGACCGACCAAGGUAUAAGACGUUGCCCCUAAAAACUAGGUCGACGGAGAAAUGAGCGUUAGCGAUCUUCGAUCGGUCUUCUCUAGUUAAUCGCCGCCAUUCGUCAGUUUUGCGGGUGCUUCUCUUUAAGGAGUGCUUGAGUAACGGGGUGUCGGUAGAGAGGCUAGGGAGGGAGCAACACAUCGGAAAUGUGAUCUUACUAUCGUUGGAAUUAAUAUACCUUUUCUAGUUACGAUGAAGCUUAUACAUGGGUUCCAAUCGCUAAUCACAGACCAAUAAAGAACUUGAGCUUCAUCUAACCUACACUCAUCAACAAUCAACCUCAUGCGAAAAUUGAAGAAUCACAACUGGAUGAGGUUACAAAGAAGUUUACAAUUUUACUGAGGGUGGUAGGAAUAAAUCCUUCGCUUGCCAAACUGAAGGAUUUCAUAACAAAGAGGUGGGGACUGAAAUAGACUAGAGAUUACAAAGUGGUGAUACUGGAAGGGAUCGGGUUUAAAAUUACGGUUCAGAAUGAAAGGGAAUUUGAGAAAGUUCUUAGGGAGGAAUGACUCUGAAUGGAAUCGAAGAUUAUGUUGGCACUAGAAUGGAAACCAUCACUGGAUUUCAAGACUGAGGCUUUAUCGACGAUCCCGAUUUAGGUUACUCUACCUGCGCUGAAUGAGAAAUUCUGGAACGCAGGAAUCAUCGCAAGAAUUGCUAGCACCCUAGGCACAUCUCUAAAUGGCAGAUUUGCGAUCAAAGAUGAUCAAACGAUUGUUCAAUUAGUGGUGGUAGUGGAUGCUGCCUUUAAAUUUUCCGGAAGUACGAAAAUAAUAAUAGAUGGGCAGAACGGUCAAGUGACGGAGGAAAUUGCAGUGAGAUAUCCAUCCGUUCCCCCUUCGUGCAAAUGGUGUGAGGGAUACAGACAUACAACUGAAGCUUGUCUCCGAACAUCCUUGACAGUGGAUGCUACCCUUAAUCAAGAACCCGGAUUCUCUAACCCACCACCAAGUAUCUCAACGCGUUAACACUCGUAGAAGAAGAAUUACCUUUAGCGAAUAUCGAUCCUACAGUCCCUGAACAGGAAGGAAAUUUAGAAUCAGAAACACAGAGGGCUACGAGAACACAGAAGAGAAGGGCUGCUCGAAUAAGAAGAAGGCAGAGGCAGAAGCAGCAGAGGAAGGAGAGAAGGAUGAAAUCAACUGAGGAGGUCGCAACGCAUACAGUGAAAGUCAACGUCCCGAUCAUGAAUACCUUGGAUGAAGAAGAGGAGGGCUCAGAUAGCUCAGUGGAUUCGGCAUUAAGAUUAAAUCAACUUGUAAACCAAACUAGGGAUAUAGAUCUGAACGCCAGUCCACAGGGUCUAAGCCCACAAGACAUGCAUCAACAGGCUUGCUCAUCUUCAUCACUAGCUGUCAAUGUGGAUGUGAUCUCAAUUCCCGCGAUUAUGACGAUUGAUAACCCAAAUCCAAAGCAGCUGAAUUUUUCAAUGAUACAUGGGCACACUUAUUCAACUCAAAUGCAUGGGAACCCGAUAAAGGUGAUUCGAUCUGGAUUUUCUGGAAUCCAAUGAUCUGGUUAGGAAGCCCAUUAGUUGUAACUAAACAACUAAUGCAUUUCAAGUUUACCAAUAACGCUAGACUAUCUUUAUACAUCUCGUUUGUCUACGGUCGAAAUACGGAAAGAAGGUCGCUUUGGGAGGAUCUAAUUAAAAUUUACCCGACAGUCCACUAUGAAAAAUGGAUAAUAUUAGGUGAUUUUAAUGAGGUUAUUUGUGCCACUGAAAGGAGAGGACAAGGUGAUUAUUCUGACGUGGGGCCGGCUGAAUUUCGAUCGAUGAUAGAUAGUACAUACACUACUGAAAUGCCUAUAAAAGGAUGAUUUUUUACUAGGAGCAAUGGUACAGUUGGAAGUAAUAGAUGCGAGAGCCGGAUUGAUAGAGCCUUAAUUAAUGAGAACUGGAGAACCCUCUGGCCCAACUUAAUCUGUAAUCUCUACACUGCGGGGAUUGGUAUGGAGGUUACCUUUCAUAAAAUUGGCUGAUCACAGACCGUUCUGCCGGCUGAGAUUGUUAACGCCCGCUGUUAUGGACCGUUCUACCCAUGGGAUCGGUAUGGAGGUUACACUGCGGGGAUUGGCAAUUCACUUCAGCGAUCAUCAUGGAUUGGAGGUUACCUUUCAUCAAAUUUCUAAAGCCAAGAGGCCCUUUCGUUUUGUCAACACAUGGAUGAGACAGGAAGGAUAUCUGGAGUUAGUCAAAAAAUGUUGGGAAUCAAAUCUGGAGGGUACCGCUAUGUUCACCUUCAACUCUAAACUGUGGUUAGUAAAAUCUUCUACCAAAUUAUGGCUACAGGGGCAAGACUUCAUUGAAAAACCAAAUCGAAUCUAUCAGGAAAUCAAUAGGAGUGAAUGUGUUGAACUUAACGGAAGAUCCAGAUAGUCACGAGUUACAACAAAAGCUGGUUGAAGAGAAAUUAAUACUUCGGGAUCUGUUUGAAAGGGAGGAACUAGAGCAUAGGCAAUGUUCAAGAAUGAAUUGGCAGAAGCUGAGUGACUCUAACACUAGAUUUUUUAGCCAAAAAACCAAGGACCGGAGCCUAAGGAAUUCUAUGUUGUGCAACUUAGAUGAUCAAGGGAAUCCACUAGUAACAAAGGACCAAUUGGAAAAGGUAGGAGUCGCUUAUUUUAAAGAAUUUUUUCGUGAAAGACAUCCUUUGAACAGUAGCACGACAACCCUCUGAGAUGGUUCCCGAAAUUAGUGGCAGAAGAGAUGAAUCAUUGGAUGGCGUGGAGGCCAAUGGAGAAGGGGGUGUGGGAAGUGAUCUCUAGCAUGUGUUUGGAAAAAGCCCCAGGACCCGAUGGGUUUACGGCGGGAUUUUUCAAACGAUACUGGGGGCUCAUUAAGAGAGAUGUGAUGGCGCUUAUAGAGGAUUUCUUCGAUGGACGAGGUUUUUUAAAGCACAUCAAUAAUACAUUCAUCACUAUUAUUCUUAAAUUUUCAGAGGCCUCGCAUAUUCAAGAUUAUAGACCCAUCUCUGGGGUAAACACAAUUUAUAAGAUCAUAUCUAAGUUACUGGCUAAUAGGAUUGGGUUUGUAACCCUAGAGCUACUCUCAGGCAAUCAAACGGCUUUCACAAAGGGUAGAAUCAUUUUUGAUAAUGUCCUCCUAGCAGAGGAAUUACUAUGAGGUUUCAAUCAGAAGGCAACGGCUAGACGGGUUUGUAUAUGCCUUGAUAUUACUAAAGCAUUUGAUUCAAUUAGCUGGGAAGCGAUUCGUAUUACUCUGGUCAGUAUGGGAUUCUCAGGGGCAUUGGUCAGACUCAUCAUUCAGUGUAUCUCGACCGCGACCUUUUCUAUCCUCAUAGAGGGAGAGCCUUCGGCUCAAUUUGGCAGUGGAAGAGGACUUCGGCAAGGGGAUCCACUUUCACCGAUCUUCUUCAAUUUAGUUAUGGAGAAUCUUUCGCAGUCAAUGCAUCUUGUCGAAAAAUAUGGAGAAUUGGAUACCUUCUUUAUGGAGGUAGCGAUCUCUCCAACACACCUUAUUUUCGUCGACGAUGUGCUAUGUUUUGCAAAGGCUAAUCCAAAAUCUCUGAGGGCAAUUAAGGCAGUUUUAGAUGACUUUACAAAAAAUUCAGGACUGGAAAUUAACUGUUCCAAGAGUUCGAUGAUAUUCUCCACUUCUUGUGAUAGAUCAAGGAUGACCUACUGCGGUUGAUGGGGUUUCAGGAAAGCCUUUUACCGCUUAAAUAUCUAGGUGUGCCUCUAGUUGGGAGGGAUAUCAAAGGAGCGGACUGUGUCCCGCUAAUUGAUCAAUUAAAUUCUUAUCUUCAAAAGUGGAAAAACAGAGCACUGUCAUAUGGAGGAAAAGUCCAACUUGCAAAUUGGAUUCUAGUGAGGAAGCUACAGUAUUGGUUCCAAUGUCUUAAAAUUCUCAUGACGGUUAUCAAAAAAACACGACAAAUCACUUAUCGGUUUAUAUGGGGAGAUUCUAAAGGUAUGACAUGGAGCAGAAUGGUUAUGGCUAAGGAGGAAAGGGGGUCUAGGCUUGGCGGAUCCGGUGCUACUCACAAGAGUUGCUAGGGUCAAAUGGAGAUGUAGAAUCUGAAAUGGGAGUUCUCCGUGGGCGGUUUGAAUGCGGGCACGCUAUUCCAAAGGGAGAGAGUUGACGGAAAUCCAAACCCACCCCAAAGAUUCCCCGAUCUGGUCUAGCAUUCUGAGAGCUAAAGAGGAUAUCAUAUUAUGCUAUUCUGCAGGGCUGGAUCGCUCAGUCAGCGGAAGUAUAAAAUCGAGCCUUAUAAGAGCAAAAUUAUCACCGACAACCGUCUCUGAUCCUCUGGCCGUAGGAGUGUGGACAUGUCGUACCUCAAAGAUGGUCUUCUACUUAUGGAGAUUGAGAUGGGGUAAGCUAAGAACAUUCGAUAAAUUGAGAAAUUGGGGGAUAGUGGUACCAGCAAAGUGUGUCCUUUGUGAUGCAAUUGAGGAAACGUCAACCCAUCUAUUCUUCAAUUGCGACUUCAGCUGGACUCUUUGGAACGAAUUUACAAGUUUGACAGAUUACGCUCUAUGGAAGACUAUGGGUAUCACAGCGAUAAAACAAGGAGAUAUAAGGGUGGGUGAUAUCAUGGAAGGGAUAUCCAAAUUCAGGAAAUCAGCACCAUGCUGGGGUCUACAUUGGAAUACACUUGCAAUAUUUAUAUGACAUCUUUGGAGGGAGAGGAAUCUACGACACAAGGAGGGGCUCUCUCGACCGGUUAAAGUCGUCGCAAGAGAUUUCAUACGAGAUUUGGCUAUCACCUAUGACUACCGUCUAUUUAAAAAAUGCAUAGAUUAAGUUUGAAAGAUACAACUAUCAAAGGUGGGAGGAAGCCUCGCUAUUGGUUACUGACCUAAAAGUCGAGGAUUAACAAGUUAUACUUAUUCCACACAUCUUAUCGUACUUUUAGUUGUUUAUUUAAUUGUUUUUCUUCUUUUUCAUUGUCGUUUGUAAUCUCUUUAUUUUAUUUUUAAUCUAAAUCGCCUUUAAAAAAGAAGUUUAAAUAACUAUUAAUCUAUUAUACAUAAUAUUACUUUAAAUCUUUAAUUAAAUCUAAAACUAAAAGUUAAUGUUUUAGGAUUUUAGCCUUCUUCUCUCUUCGGUCGAGCGUCUUCACUCUUCAGUUUUCACUUCCGUCUUUUAACCCAGCGCCGACCUUCACUUCCGUCUUCCAGCACCACUCAUCUUCACUUCGGUCUUCCCACUCGAUCUUCACUUCCGUCUUCCAUCGCCAACGAUCUUCACUUUAGUCUUCUUGAUUUUCUUUUCAGAUCACGUCAGAUUUGUCUCUCGUCCGUCUUCACUAUCUUUGUUUUUUUUCUUUCCAGGAUUUAAGUCUCCAGGUUACAAAAUUCGUCCGUUUCUGCUAAGUGCCAACUAGUGUUUGACCACUCGAUUUGAGUAAGCUAUUUCUGCCAACAUAGCACAUUGCAUCCAGUGAUUUAAAAGAUUGAUUAUCCAGUGAUAUAAAAACAAUAAAACAUGCAGUGAUUUAAUAUUUCAGUGAUUAUCCAGUGAUUUAAUAUUUCAUUUUGUUGGAUUGUUGGACUGCAGGAAUUUAUUUUAAAAAUACAAGGAUUUUUUUACAAUUUUUUUUUAAAUAUUAUAUUUUUAAAUUACAGGGGUUAUCAAUAAAAAAUUAUUCGGAUUAUAAUUUAUCUAGAUUUGGAUUUGGAUUUUCAAAUCCGAAUUUUAUUCGGUCGAAUUCGGAUAAUUAUUCGGAUUCAGAUACCUGCAUACCUACAAGCUCAGAUCUCAUAGUCUUCCGAUAUUCAAUCUUAUGUUCUUGUGUGUUUUAAAUUUGAAUUUGCUGACUGGAUUACUACAACACUUUUGUUAAAACUAAAUCAAUACUUUGCAGGAAUUGCAGGUAACGACGACACGAUGAUAGACAACAAUGGAGUGAAGUCCUCGAGCUGCAACUAUAGCCCGGAGGACAUCAGACCAUCUGACUAGAUAGAUUAGCUAAACUGUGUAACUAUUAGUAUUUGGUUUAAUUUCAUAAUUGUCUAUGAAUCGUUGCAAGCUUGGGCCUAAAUGGCCGAACAUUUGAAGUACUGGUCCAAAGUGAUCCAAUCCAAUUUAAUAGAUACAUAAGGGACAUCUAAAACCCUAGAUGUCCCACUUUUGCCUCUUCGUUUUCUUUUCUCCAAAACCCUCCGACCACUUCUCCGUUUUCACUCCACAGAAGUGAGCCCUCGCAGGGUUGUUUUCAACUUUGAACCCUUUGAACUCUAAUCAUGAUUAUUUGAUCAGGUUUGAACUCUAAUCAUGAUUAUUUGAACAGUUCGAACUCUAAUCAUGAUUAUUGGAUCAGGUUUGAACUCUGAUCAUGAUUAUUUGAACAGGUUUGAACUCUGAUCAUAAUUAUUUGAUCAGGUUUGAACUCUGAUCAUGAUUACUUGAACAGUUUAAACUCUGAUCAUGAUUACUUGAACAGUUUAAACUCUGAUCAUGAUUACUUGGACAGUAGAGUGGAUUCCAAGAACAUUUAUAGUUUCCUACUUUCAAUUUCUAACCACAAACAUUCGACACGUCGAUGGCUUUGCUUCUCAAUCUGGCAUGCUUCUCUGUCCGUUCUCCUCAACAAACCUUCCUUUUUCCCAAAAAAAAUCCAGCUGGGAGUCGAAGAAGAGGUAGCAUAAAACCGGCGGUGCUUCCCGGUGAGAACGGGAGCAGGAGGAAGGAGGACAGAGGCAACAAUCGGCUCUUUGCGGUGGCGGAUGGGAUAGGAGCAAGU